UAUGGGAUUGCUGGGUUAUAUGGUAAGUGUAUUUUAACUUUAUAAGAAACUGACAAAUAGUUUUCCAGAGUGGCUGUAUUAUUUUGCAUUCCCACCAGCAAU
rnacentral:pre_miRNA from 3 species